rnacentral:rRNA from 1 species
AGCGAACGCUGGCGGCAGGCUUAACACAUGCAAGUCGAGCGGGCAUAGCAAUAUGUCAGCGGCAGACGGGUGAGUAACGCGUGGGAACGUACCUUUUGGUUCGGAACAACUGAGGGAAACUUCAGCUAAUACCGGAUAAGCCCUUACGGGGAAAGAUUUAUCGCCGAAAGAUCGGCCCGCGUCUGAUUAGCUAGUUGGUGAGGUAAUGGCUCACCAAGGCGACGAUCAGUAGCUGGUCUGAGAGGAUGAUCAGCCACAUUGGGACUGAGACACGGCCCAAACUCCUACGGGAGGCAGCAGUGGGGAAUAUUGGACAAGGGGCGCAAGCCUGAUCCAGCCAUGCCGGGUGAGUGUUGAAGGCCCUAGGGUUGUAAAGCUCUUUUGUGCGGGAAGAUAAUGACGGUACCGCAAGAAUAAGCCCCGGCUAACUUCGUG